AAACAGGAGUCAGCUAAGUGGAAGGGGAGAAGGAGGACAAGAAAAGAGAAGUCCGGCAGUGUGAACAGCAUGUGUGAAGGCCCAGAGGACCACCUGCCAGGCACAGAUCCAGAAAGAAACCAGGACCAGCCCUGUCCACAAGGAGCUGUCUGCAGAGGAGACAGGAUGCCUGUAUAGAAAAUAGGGCUGCAGCAUCAGACGGCUGCUCCCCACCCAGGAUGGAAGGACAAACAGAGAGGACGCAUCAGGGAAGGGAGAGGCAGAGAAAGCUGACUAGGGGAUGUUGAUCAGACCUGGGCACUCUGCAGUGAUGAUCAGCAGCUCAAGAGCAAGGGUGGCUCCUGACCGUGAGGGGUCAGCACCAGGCCCACAAGCCUGUCUGUUGCACCAGUGCCCAGGAGGGGCUGUCGACUGCAGAACUGUUUUCUCUGGCUCGACCUCACCCAGAACCAGCGGCAGAAAGGCCAGUUAUGCAACCAUCCUCACCACAGCCUGCCAGCCUCAGAGGCUGGGCCUGGCCGCCGGGCCUGGCCGCCAGGCCUGGUAAGGAGACUGCUGUGGCCUGCACAGCACAAGGCCAUCCUGGGCCCCAACUGCCACUUUCCAUGCAGGUGCAAGACGCUCUGCUGACAAAUACCUGGGGAAAGCAGGAGCUGUGGGAGGGAGGUAAAAAUAGCACAGUUGGCAACAGAGAAGGCUUUUCUAAGUCCUCAGGGUCCUAUUAGUCCUUGUCCAUGGGAUACACAUGAGCUGGCACUGAGCAUUCUCUCUUCUCCAAGGCUCAUGCUUAGAACAGGCACAGAGGCCUGGGAGGCCUCUUGUAUCAUGUCAGGAGCUGCACAGUGAUCAGAAGUUAGGGAGAGCGCCUGUUGCAGAGGCUGGAUUUGGAGGAUAUGCUGGGGCUGCCGUCAUAACCCCACAUCCCCAGUGGGUUCUCUCUGGCCACUCCCUCUACGGCCAGUUCUGUUUUCUCCCCAUUUUUGGAAACCCAAAUUCUUGAUGUUUCUGUUAUUCACAUUGCCAUUAAGAAUUAUGGGCUUUGCACUGUGUUUUUAAUUUGUUGUGUAAGGGUUUUACACAAACACAGCUAGAUGCCUAGAAAAGACAAUGUAUAUGGGCAUGCAGGCUGUGCACUGCACAACUCCAGAGGGCUUCAUUCAUGACCAGGAUGUGAGUGGCGCCCUGGAAUCAUGCAAUGUGGUUACCGGUAUUGCCAGAGAGGAAAUGAUGUCUUACAUGACCCCAUAUCCCCGGGAAAAGGCCAGCCAUGCUAAUAAAGAUUUGCUAACUAACCAAUUUGUCUCCUGCUUCCAAA
rnacentral:lncRNA from 1 species